UUCGGAAUAACAGUUGGAAACGACUGCUAAUACCGGAUGAUGACGUAAGUCCAAAGAUUUAUCGCCGAGGGAUGAGCCCGCGUAGGAUUAGGUAGUUGGUGUGGUAAAGGCGCACCAAGCCGACGAUCCUUAGCUGGUCUGAGAGGAUGAUCAGCCACACUGGGACUGAGACACGGCCCAGACUCCUACGGGAGGCAGCAGUGGGGAAUAUUGGACAAUGGGCGAAAGCCUGAUCCAGCAAUGCCGCGUGAGUGAUGAAGGCCUUAGGGUUGUAAAGCUCUUUUACCCGGGAUGAUAAUGACAGUACCGGGAGAAUAAGCUCCGGCUAACUCCGUGCCAGCAGCCGCGGUAAUACGGAGGGAGCUAGCGUUAUUGGGAAUUACUGGGCGUAAAGCGCACGUAGGCGGCUUUGUAAGUAAGAGGUGAAAGCCCAGAGCUCAACUCUGGAAUUGCCUUUUAGACUGCAUCGCUUGAAUCAUGGAGAGGUCAGU
rnacentral:rRNA from 1 species